rnacentral:lncRNA from 1 species
CCUGAUGUUCAUGCAAGGUGACAGAAAGGGAGUGAGGUUCAUUUCAGCUUACCUUUCAGUUUAGAAGAGCUGCCUCUCACCGUGCACAUCACUGUGAUGGGUAGGAUACCCCUCUUUCUCCUGUUAACUAGUUAAUUCAAGCAGACAUCACUGGCAGAAGGCAAUCUGCUCAGCUGCUUUGCUGUGCAGAAGCAGGUUAGUGUAUGGCAGCAAGCAGAGAGCUCCAAGAACAAUCUCCACAUUGUGCUGGAUUUUUUUGUAUGGUAAGUCAGCCUGGGGAAAGUCCAGUUACCGCCUUGUGAGCAGAAGGGAGUCUGUAACAUCACAACAGGGUCAGGUCUUUCUUCAGAGGCAUUCAGGAACCAGUCCUUUAAUAAUUGUUUUUUAUACAACAUGUAAUGAUGAAGAAGAAAUAAAGAAUAAAGAAGAGGAAGACAGCUGAAGGCUGUGAAGGAGUUUUCACAGGUCUCACAGACAAAUGUUUGUUAGAACCAAAUUUUACUGCGAAGUUACCUGAGCCUUAAAUACAACAAAUACUUUGGCAAAGGAAAAACAGAAGAAAAUACAAUGAGAUCUUUCUAAAAUUAAUGGCAUUUAUUGAUUAGACCACUGUUUUGUUAUGUUAUAUUUGUUAUGUGAGAGAGAUGUAUUAAUUCCAACGUGCCUACCGUUCCUUAAUGCAUUUGCUUACUACGUGGAGAAAUGCAAAUAAAGCUGAAGCAAGUUUGCA